GCGUUGGUGGUUUAGUGGUAAAAUUCAUCGUUGCCAUGGAAUCGGUAGAUUUCAAAUUCGAUGAGCCCCGGGUUCGAUUCCCGGCCGACGCA